GACGAACGCUGGCGGCGUGCUUAACACAUGCAAGUCGAACGGAAAGGCCCUGCUUUUGUGGGGUGCUCGAGUGGCGAACGGGUGAGUAACACGUGAGUAACCUGCCCUUGACUUUGGGAUAACUUCAGGAAACUGGGGCUAAUACCGGAUAGGAGCUCCUGCUGCAUGGUGGGGGUUGGAAAGUUUCGGCGGUUGGGGAUGGACUCGCGGCUUAUCAGCUUGUUGGUGGGGUAGUGGCUUACCAAGGCUUUGACGGGUAGCCGGCCUGAGAGGGUGACCGGCCACAUUGGGACUGAGAUACGACCCAGACUCCUACGGGAGGCAGCAGUGGGGAAUAUUGCACAAUGGGCGGAAGCCUGAUGCAGCAACGCCGCGUGCGGGAUGACGGCCUUCAGGUUGUAAACCGCUUUCGCCUGUGACGAAGCGUGAGUGACGGUAAUGGGUAAAGAAGCACCGGCUAACUACGUG
rnacentral:rRNA from 1 species